rnacentral:lncRNA from 1 species
CAGUUGUGGGGUUAGUAUUUGUUAACAGACCUGUAAGUGAUCCAUUGGCCUCUUAAGUUGUGCCUUCAACUCUCUUAAACCUAAAACAUAAAUAAUCUAAAACAUCUGUUAAGCACCUGCUCUAUUCCAGGAAUAGAAACGCAAGGAGAGAUGCUUGUCCUUUGGUGCAGAACACAGUUCACAGAGCAUAAAUGCUAUGAUAGAGAGGAGCCCUAGUAUGAGGGGGACCAGAGGGAA